CUGCAGAGAUGAUUACCCUGAACUCUCUCUUUCUGACCCAUAUGGAGAAACCCCUUUACAACCUUCUGAGCAGC